rnacentral:rRNA from 1 species
UGAGGAAUAUUGGACAAUGGGUUAGCGCCUGAUCCAGCCAUCCCGCGUGAAGGACGACGGCCCUAUGGGUUGUAAACUUCUUUUGUAUAGGGAUAAACCUACUCUCGUGAGAGUAGCUGAAGGUACUAUACGAAUAAGCACCGGCUAACUCCGUGCCAGCAGCCGCGGUAAUACGGAGGGUGCAAGCGUUAUCCGGAUUUAUUGGGUUUAAAGGGUCCGUAGGCGGGCUUGUAAGUCAGUGGUGAAAUCUCAUAGCUUAACUAUGAAACUGCCAUUGAUACUGCAGGUCUUGAGUAAAUUUGAAGUGGCUGGAAUAAGUAGUGUAGCGGUGAAAUGCAUAGAUAUUACUUAGAACACCAAUUGCGAAGGCAGGUCACUAAGAUUUAACUGACGCUGAUGGACGAAAGCGUGGGGAGCGAACA